GACGAACGCUGGCGGCGUGCUUAACACAUGCAAGUCGAACGGAAAGGCCCUGCUUGCAGGGUACUCGAGUGGCGAACGGGUGAGUAACACGUGGGUGAUCUGCCCUGCACUUCGGGAUAAGCCUGGGAAACUGGGUCUAAUACCGGAUAGGAGCCAUUUUUAGUGUGAUGGUUGGAAAGUUUUUUCGGUGUAGGAUGAGCUCGCGGCCUAUCAGCUUGUUGGUGGGGUAAUGGCCUACCAAGGCGGCGACGGGUAGCCGGCCUGAGAGGGUGGACGGCCACAUUUGGACUGAGAUACGGCCCAGACUCCUACGGGAGGCAGCAGUGGGGAAUAUUGCACAAUGGGCGCAAGCCUGAUGCAGCGACGCCGCGUGGGGGAUGACGGCCUUCGGGUUGUAAACUCCUUUCGCUAGGGACGAAGCUUUUUGUGACGGUACCUAGAUAAGAAGCACCGGCUAACUACGUG
rnacentral:rRNA from 1 species